rnacentral:rRNA from 1 species
ACUCCUACGGGAGGCAGCAGUAGGGAAUCUUCCACAAUGGACGCAAGUCUGAUGGAGCAACGCCGCGUGAGUGAAGAAGGGUUUCGGCUCGUAAAGCUCUGUUGGUGGUGAAGAAAGAUAGGGGUAGUAACUGGCCUUUAUUUGACGGUAAUUACUUAGAAAGUCACGGCUAACUACGUGCCAGCAGCCGCGGUAAUAC